rnacentral:tRNA from 1 species
GCACCGCUAGCUCAGCUGGUAGAGCACCUGACUCUUAAUCAGGGUGUCCAGGGUUCGAACCCCUGGCGGUGCA